rnacentral:tRNA from 1 species
GCGGGUGUAGCUCAAUGGCAGAGCUCCAGCCUUCCAAGCUGGCGGUGGGGGUUCGAUUCCCCUCACCCGCU